AAUAAGUGUAGUUCUACACCGUUCAUAUUCAACGUUUGACCGCUCGUCUUAUUUAAUUUUUUUAUAAUUAAUAAUUUUAUUAUUAACUAGUACUUUAUGUGUGAAUAAUUCUUUUUAAAAAGUAUAUAUUUUAAAAAUAAGACGGACGGUCAAACGUUAUACACGGAUACCCAUAACUGCACUUGUU
rfam:Oryza glaberrima chromosome 1 Oglab01_0313_27, whole genome shotgun sequence.